rnacentral:ncRNA from 1 species
UACCUAUAACUUUAUUUUUCAACUAUUAUUUUCAUAUUCUUAUUAUUUGCUCUGGCUGUUCGCGCGCGCGGCGUCGCCGGCGCCCGCUCGGCCGGUCCAGGGCUGCGCAACCACGCACCCCACUCACCGGUUAUGACGAUACGGUCGGCCUUCCACAUUGGUCGCGGCGCAAAUAUUAGACUAAGACCGACGCGUACGGGCCGUCGCAGCAGCCGCCGCGCUCCGCACGCGGGUCGAGGCGUGCGGCGGCUUCACGCCCUUCAAUUUUUGGUGACUCUGGAUAACUGUCAGUACGAUCGCACGGGCUAGUAUUGACUAGCCUUCCCGCGAGUCCGCCCUAUCAACUGUCGACGGCCCGGUAAGUGCCGUCCGUGGUGGCAAGAAGUAACAGGGAAUCAGCGUUCGAUUUCGGAGAGGGAGCAUGCGAAACGGCUACCACAUCUCAGGAAGGCAGCAGGGCGCAAAUUACCCACUCCCGGAACGGGAGGUAGUGACGAAAAAUAACGACUCGGGAUUUUGUCGAGGCCCCGCGAUCGGAAUGAGUAUAAAUUUGUUAA